rnacentral:rRNA from 1 species
UACGGGGGGAGCAAGCGUUGUUCGGAUUUACUGGGCGUAAAGCGCACGUAGGCGGCUUCUUAAGUCGGUGGUGAAAUCCUGGAGCUCAACUCCAGAACUGCCUUCGAUACUGGGAAGCUCGAGUCCGGGAGAGGUGAGUGGAACUGCGAGUGUAGAGGUGAAAUUCGUAGAUAUUCGCAAGAACACCAGUGGCGAAGGCGGCUCACUGGCCCGGUACUGACGCUGAGGUGCGAAAGCGUGGGGAGCAAACAGG